UACGAAGGGGGCUAGCGUUGUUCGGAAUUACUGGGCGUAAAGCGUAUGCAGGCGGACUUUUAAGUCGGGGGUGAAAUCCCGAGGCUCAACCUCGGAACUGCCUUCGAUACUGGAAGUCUUGAGUCCGGGAGAGGUGAGUGGAACUCCGAGUGUAGAGGUGAAAUUCGUAGAUAUUCGGAAGAAACACCAGUGGCGAAGGCGGCUCACUGGCCCCGGUACUGACGCUGAGAUACGAAAAGCGUGGGGAGCAA
rnacentral:rRNA from 1 species